UUGGUUGAGGUGGUAGAGUCAGAGGGUGGAAUAUUUCUCAGGGAAUGCCUUGCUGCUAAAUGAUUAACUAGCAUUCGGCUGAACCCUCAAGGGUUCACACGUUGUUGUUAAUGUAGC